GGAAGCUCUACGUCUUGGGGGCCGCAUGGUGCCGAGAGCGCAGACCAGACCCGCCCCGCCUCUCCGUGCCACGCACGCGCUCGGCUCCGCGCUUAAUGAAGCAGUAUCUGACUGUGUUGCCCAGGCUGGUCUUGAACUCCUGGUCUCAAAUGAUUCUCCUGCUUUGGCCUCCUAAAGUGCUGGGAUUACAGCAACGCGAAUGAAAUUUGGUGCCAUCACUCGGAUCAGGGGACCUCCCUUGGGAGAUCAAUCCCCUGUCCUCCUGCUCUUUGCUCCAUGAGAAAGAUCCACCUACGAUCUCUGCUCCUCAGACCAACCAGCCCAAGGAACAUCUCACCAAUUUUAAAUCGGAUCUUCUCAGCUUAGCGGCUGAAGACUGAUGCUGCCAGAUGACUUUGGAAGCCCCCUGGACCAUCACAGAUGCCCAGCUUUGGAUAACUCUUACAGUGGAGGACAGGAAUAUCAGGUCUCUGAGCCCAAGCUAAGCCAUCAUAUCCCCUGUGACCUGCAUGUAUGCAUCCAGAUGGCCUGAAGUAACUGAAGAAUCACAAAAGAAGUGAAAAUGGCGCGUGCCUGCCUUAACUGAUGACAUUACCUUGUGAAAUUCCUUCUCCUGGCUCAUCCUGGCUCAAAAGCUCCCCCACUGAGCACCUUGUGACCCCCACUCCUGCCUAACAGAGAACAAUCCCCUUUGACUGUAAU
rnacentral:lncRNA from 1 species